ACGGAAGGCAGCAGUGGGGAAUAUUGCACAAUGGGCGAAAGCCUGAUGCAGCGACGCCGCGUGAGUGAAGAAGUAUCUCGGUAUGUAAGGCUCUAUCAGCAGGGAAGAAAAUGACGGUACCUGACUAAGAAGCCCCGGCUAACUACGUGCCAGCAGCCGCGGUAAUACGUAGGGGGCAAGCGUUAUCCGGAUUUACUGGGUGUAAAGGGAGCGUAGACGGUUUGGCAAGUCUGAAGUGAAAUGCGGGGGCUCAACUCCUGAACUGCUUUGGAAACUGUCGAACUAGAGUGCAGGAGAGGUAAGUGGAAUUCCUAGUGUAGCGGUGAAAUGCGUAGAUAUUAGGAGGAACACCAGUGGCGAAGGCGGCUUACUGGACUGUAACUGACGUUGAGGCUCGAAAGCGUGGGGAGCAAACAGGAUUAGAUACCCUGGUA
rnacentral:rRNA from 2 species